UGGACAGGAGCGCACUCGUUUCGUCCGUGUGAGUAAAAAUCUUCCGCGGCGAGACGACAAAAGGCGCCAAAAUAAGAUUCGAGAGCAAAAUGCCUCGUAAAUAUAAUAGAAAACCGGGUGUUAUCCCUCGCGCUGUUACCUGGACCGAAGAAAGUAUGCUAGCAGCGUUUGAAGAGAUGAAAAAGGGAGACAAGGGUGUAAAUCAGAUUUCUAAAAUUUAUGGCAUACCAUCUAGAACAUUAAGACGAAGAUUUCUUAAAAAUGACCAACAAAAAUUGACAUUAGGUAAACACCCUGUGCUAGGGUUUGAUAACGAAAAUCUCCCCCUAUUUUAAGAAUAAUUUAGUCUGUUACCAAAGUUGAUUUUUAUUUUUUAAGAUGAUUAUUACUAAUAUCAAGAAGACUGGAGAAGUAUUAAAGUUCAUGCAAGUUAAUUACUACCUAGUAGUUAGUAAAAGAUGUUGAUUAUUAUUAAAAAAAUAUGUGAUCGUUAAUAGAUGAUAAUGUUUAUGUAUGUUAAAACACAAUAAAGACUGAUUAUUAUAAUAUAGUUGUUUCAUUUCAUAACAAAUCAGUUACAAUGUUUGACUAAGUCGUCAAUCCCCACUAAGGGCACCUAUCCUCACAUCAUUUUUCAUGAUAAGUCUUCUAUCCGCCACAGUAGGCGUCUAUCCUAUUUUUUAGAGGUCCAGCAAAUUACAAUUUAUACAAAAUCUACACAGUCUAUAUCAAAUCGAUUCAGAUAAAAUAAUGCAUUAAGAAAUAUAUUAAAUAUUUCUCAAAGAACACAAUGCUCUAAGAUUAUAAAUUUCGGAAUUAUUAAGCUUUUUCAAAAAGUGUGGCAUCUAUCCUGGACUUACCCUAGCCCAUUA